GACGAACGCUGGCGGCGUGCUUAACACAUGCAAGUCGAACGGAAAGGCCCUGCUUUUGUGGGGUGCUCGAGUGGCGAACGGGUGAGUAACACGUGAGUAACCUGCCCUUGACUUUGGGAUAACUUCAGGAAACUGGGGCUAAUACCGGAUAGGAGCUCCUGCUGCAUGGUGGGGGUUGGAAAGUUUCGGCGGUUGGGGAUGGACUCGCGGCUUAUCAGCUUGUUGGUGGGGUAGUGGCUUACCAAGGCUUUGACGGGUAGCCGGCCUGAGAGGGUGACCGGCCACAUUGGGACUGAGAUACGGCCCAGACUCCUACGGGAGGUAGCAGUGGGGAAUAUUGCACAAUGGGCGGAAGCCUGAGGCAGCAACGCCGCGUGCGGGAUGACGGCCUUCGGGUUGUAAACCGCUUUCGCCUGUGACGAAGCGUGAGUGACGGUAAUGGGUAAAGAAGCACCGGCUAACUACGUG
rnacentral:rRNA from 1 species